rnacentral:rRNA from 1 species
GUGAGGAAUAUUUGGUCAAUGGGCGCAAGCCUGAACCAGCCAUGCCGCGUGAAGGAAGAAUGUCCUAUGGAUUGUAAACUUCUUUUAUUUGGGAAGAAACCCCUCUACGUGUAGAGGUCUGACAGUACCAAAGGAAUAAGGACCGGCUAACUCCGUGCCAGCAGCCGCGGUAAUACGGAGGGUCCAAGCGUUAUCCGGAAUCAUUGGGUUUAAAGGGUUCGCAGGCGGUUCAUUAAGUCAGUGGUGAAAUCUCGAGGCUCAACCUCGAAACUGCCAUUGAUAACUGAUAGACUUGAAUAUAGUUGGAGUAGGCGGAAUGUGUAGUGUAGCGGUGAAAUGCUUAGAUAUUACACAGAACACCGAUAGCGAAGGCAGCUUACUAAACUAUUAUUGACGCUCAUGAACGAAAGCGUGGGGAGCGAACAGGAUUAGAUACCC